CUAUUCCAGACGUGGAUUUUUACUCCCAAAUAGUUGAUGUACUAGCUACUGGUGCAACCGCUCUGAUGGGGAGCCUAUCGUUCUAGUAAAAGCUGACAACAUCAGCCAGACUCGUUCCUACGAAGCUUGAUCUCUUCGGUGAUCUCACUCUUGCGGAGGUGGGUUCUGACUAGUCAUGUUGACCUUCGCUCCUAUGGAACUUUUCCACCGGUGCGACGUCGCUCUAGAGACCAUGGUCCGUCGGAGCGACAAUUGCUGGUAGUUAUAUCUCUCUUCUCCUCAUUCAUCCAUUGAAAGGUAGAAGAGUUGAAGUUCAAUUCUUGCCAUCCGAGUUUUAGCUGACCACAUUGAUCCUUGUGCAAUGCAACUUAUAGUCGGAGAUUGAUGGUGAACUUACUGGCAUCUGGAUUUGACUCAUGUCCUUCUGUAUAUUUUGAUUAGUCUUUUGUAUUUUCAGACAUUCUAUCACGUCCUCUACUCAGUCUUUUAUAGUAGUUCUCUCUUGAUGUCUACCAGGUUUUGGGAUGAAUCUUUUAUAGCUUUUUUCCUUGUUCAUUAAUGUAUGUACAUAAGUCUUGUUCUUGCCGUAGCUAUUUUAUUUACUUUGAUUGUAUUUUCCUUA